rnacentral:rRNA from 1 species
UACAGAGGUCUCAAGCGUUGUUCGGAUUCAUUGGGCGUAAAGGGUGUGUAGGAGGCCAGGUAAGUCAGGUGUGAAAUCUCAGAGCUUAACUCUGAAACUGCGCUUGAUACUGCUUGGCUAGAGGAUCGGAGGGGGUAACGGAAUUUAUGGUGUAGCAGUGAAAUGCGUAGAUAUCAUAAGGAACACCGGUGGCGAAGGCGGUUACCUGGAAGAUUCCUGACUCUGAAACACGAAAGCCAGGGGAGCAAACGGG